rnacentral:rRNA from 1 species
UACGGAGGGUGCAAGCGUUAUCCGGAUUCACUGGGUUUAAAGGGUGCGUAGGUGGGCAGGUAAGUCAGUGGUGAAAUCUCCGGGCUUAACCCGGAAACUGCCAUUGAUACUAUCAGUCUUGAAUACCGUGGAGGUAAGCGGAAUAUGUCAUGUAGCGGUGAAAUGCUUAGAUAUGACAUAGAACACCGAUUGCGAAGGCAGCUUACUACACGAUCAUUGACACUGAGGCACGAAAGCGUGGGAGCAAACAGG